UACGGAGGAUGCGAGCGUUAUCCGGAUUUAUUGGGUUUAAAGGGUGCGUAGGCGGAUCGUUAAGUCAGUGGUCAAAUUGAGGGGCUCAACCCCUUCCCGCCAUUGAAACUGGCGCUCUUGAGUGGAAGAGAAGUAUGCGGAAUGCGUGGUGUAGCGGUGAAAUGCAUAGAUAUCACGCAGAACCCCGAUUGCGAAGGCAGCAUACCGGCGCCCUACUGACGCUGAGGCACGAAAGCGUGGGUAUCGAACAGG
rnacentral:rRNA from 1 species